CUUGACUCGUAUUGUAUAAUGGGUACCACCCGAAACCUUUUCGAAUUCGAUUGUGAAAUCAUUAUACGCCAUAUGUAUUGCUAUAAUAAUAAGUGAGAGACAUGGUCUUUGUCAAG
rnacentral:rRNA from 1 species